AGCGCAGGCGGGAAGACAAGUUGGAAGUGAAAUCCAUGGGCUCAACCCAUGAACUGCUUUCAAAACUGUUUUUCUUGAGUAGUGCAGAGGUAGGCGGAAUUCCCGGUGUAGCGGUGGAAUGCGUAGAUAUCGGGAAGAACACCAAUGGCGAAGGCAGGUCUCUGGGCCGUUACUGACGCUGAGGAGCGAAAGCGUGGGGAGCGAACA
rnacentral:rRNA from 1 species